UCGGACGUCGUGCACGGCGCACGCCCGCUCCCGAUAGGAUUUGUUCUCUUCGAUGAACGCGGGAUUCCUGGGUUCGACUCCCAGCGUUCGAG